AUCUGCCUGGUAGUGGGGGACAACGUUUCGAAAGGAACGCUAAUACCGCAUACGUCCUACGGGAGAAAGUGGGGGAUCUUCGGACCUCACGCUAUCAGAUGAGCCUAGGUCGGAUUAGCUAGUUGGUGAGGUAAAGGCUCACCAAGGCGACGAUCCGUAACUGGUCUGAGAGGAUGAUCAGUCACACUGGAACUGAGACACGGUCCAGACUCCUACGGGAGGCAGCAGUGGGGAAUAUUGGACAAUGGGCGAAAGCCUGAUCCAGCCAUGCCGCGUGUGUGAAGAAGGUCUUCGGAUUGUAAAGCACUUUAAGUUGGGAGGAAGGGCAGUAAGUUAAUACCUUGCUGUUUUGACGUUACCGACAGAAUAAGCACCGGCUAACUUCGUGCCAGCAGCCGCGGUAAUACGAAGGGUGCAAGCGUUAAUCGGAAUUACUGGGCGUAAAGCGCGCGUAGGUGGUUCGUUAAGUUGGAUGUGAAAGCCCCGGGCUCAACCUGGGAACUGCAUCCAAAACUGGCGAGCUAG
rnacentral:rRNA from 1 species